UACGUAGGCAGCAAGCGUUGUUCGGAAUUACUGGGCGUAAAGCGCACGUAGGCGGCUUUGCAAGUUAGAGGUGAAAGCCCGGGGCUCAACUCCGGAAUUGCCUUUAAAACUGCAUCGCUAGAAUUGUGGAGAGGUAAGUGGAAUUCCGAGUGUAGAGGUGAAAUUCGUAGAUAUUCGGAAGAACACCAGUGGCGAAGGCGACUUACUGGACACAUAUUGACGCUGAGGUGCGAAAGCGUGGGGAGCAAACAGG
rnacentral:rRNA from 1 species